GUGAGAGUGGCGGACGGGUGAGUAAUGUCUGGGAAACUGCCCGAUGGAGGGGGAUAACUACUGGAAACGGUAGCUAAUACCGCAUAACGUCUUCGGACCAAAGUGGGGGACCUUCGGGCCUCACACCAUCGGAUGUGCCCAGAUGGGAUUAGCUAGUAGGUGGGGUAAUGGCUCACCUAGGCGACGAUCCCUAGCUGGUCUGAGAGGAUGACCAGCCACACUGGAACUGAGACACGGUCCAGACUCCUACGGGAGGCAGCAGUGGGGAAUAUUGCACAAUGGGCGCAAGCCUGAUGCAGCCAUGCCGCGUGUAUGAAGAAGGCCUUCGGGUUGUAAAGUACUUUCAGUGGGGAGGAAGGCGAUGCGGUUAAUAACCGCGUCGAUUGACGUUACCCGCAGAAGAAGCACCGGCUAACUCCGUGCCAGCAGCCGCGGUAAUACGGAGGGUGCAAGCGUUAAUCGGAAUUACUGGGCGUAAAGCGCACGCAGGCGGUCUGUCAAGUCGGAUGUGAAAUCCCCGGGCUCAACCUGGGAACUGCAUUCGAAACUGGCAGGCUAGAGUCUUGUAGAGGGGGGUAGAAUUCCAGGUGUAGCGGUGAAAUGCGUA
rnacentral:rRNA from 1 species